AGUAGUUUGAUCAGUGGCUCGAGGACGAACGCUGGCGGCGUGCCUAACACAUGCAAGUCGAACGGGGGUUUUGCUUCGGUAGAACCCUAGUGGCGAACGGGUGAGUAACGCGUAGGCAACCUGCCCUUCAGACGGGGACAACAUCCCGAAAGGGGUGCUAAUACCGGAUACGAAGGAGCCAUCGCAUGGUGGCUCCUUGAAAGAUGGCCUCUAUUUAUAAGCUAUCGCUGAAGGAUGGGCCUGCGUCCGAUUAGCUGGUUGGUGUAGUAAAGGUGCACCAAGCCGACGAUCGGUAGCCGGUCUGAGAGGAUGAACGGCCACAAUGGAACUGAGACACGGUCCAUACUCC
rnacentral:rRNA from 1 species